CGGGACGUAGCGCAGCUUGGUAGCGCAUCUGCUUUGGGAGCAGGGUGUCGCAGGUUCAAAUCCUGCCGUCCCGA
rnacentral:tRNA from 3 species